UAUGGGAAAAUACUGUGAAUGAUAUCGGUGUUUUAGAGCUCUUGCAUGAGAUCCUUCGAUGGGCCAUUCUGCUAAAACACUCCUUUGAAUGAAUUGUCUUUUUUAUUGAGCCAGUAACGGAGUAGUGCAAUGAAAUGGAUGGACUGAAGGUAAAUGAAGUUUUGAGUGAUAAUCCAAUCUGAGAAGAGCCAGCUUGGAUAAAAAUAUAAAGCCCAAGCUUUCAAAUGAAGUUCCAGCUUGGUUACCAAAUAGUAAACUUGAGAAAGUAAUUAGUAUCAAGUUAGAACAAAUAUGGAUUAGUCUAGAAAGGAGGUCCUAUGGAAAGUAGUCUGCAUAUGUAAAAUUCAAGCCCAAAUGAAGAAUUUAUAUUUGAGAAGUUGAACCUGAAUGAGCAAAUGUUGUAUUCAGUGGCAAAAUAAAAAAAAAAC